UAUUCAAGAAGGGAUAAAGAACUAUUUUGGAAUAGACAAUAAUUGGACUAGAGACAGAGAAGCUGCCAGUGACUGCCCACCAGAAUGAAAACAAGGCUUUGGGACAAAAGGUUUUUGCUUCAAUACUGCCCUAAUGCUGUCUAACAAGUUUCAUAACGAUGUGUGUUGAUUUAAGGAUAAACUACUAUGUACGUGUGGUUUAUGUGGAAACCUUCACCAAGGAAACCUUGACUGGCACAAAGAAAAGCUUUUCAAGACAGCUGCUACGUUGUACUGCAUUUUUGCAUAUGAUUUGAUGCUUCAAAAAUAAACACCAACACCAGUAGUGUGAAUAAAGUAGAGUGAUGCAGUUCCAAUGUUAAAAAUAUUGGAAAAGUUGAACGGGACUAAUAACAUUGGGUUUUGUCUGUGCAGGCAUCAAAAAUGACAGGUUUGAAGGAAAUGGAUGAAAAAUCAAUCACUUCAACUUUAGAGUUUUUACUGCCAAAGUUGGACGUACCAUCAGAGUUUCUGCCUGUGACAGUGGAUGAACAUCUAGGAAACACAGGUGUGCCAGCUGAACUACGGGACUGAUUUCUGGAGUUGCUAGGGGAUGCAGCAAUUGCCUUACCACACAUUAAAGCAUCAAAUUAUCGCGGGGGUGAAGCUACAGAGGAAGAAAAGAACCUUAGCAGACUCUAAUGAAGUACUGGGUUAACUUGUUCAAAACGGGUAAGAAUCGUGAGAUUCAUGACACACAUUACUGGUUUGUGCUGACUCCAUAGUGAGUUAGCUGUUUGGCUGAUUUCAGUCUUAACUUCUAUGAAUUCCCCUGUGACCGAAAAGGGCAUCACUCUUUCUUUCUUGUUGUUUACAGAAAUCCUAAUGGAGGGUUUGUUUGAUUGGCCAUCGUAGAACCUAAAUGAAGAAUACUUACACAUGAAUCUAAACCUAAGGAAAACCGGAAGGUUGAAAGAA